ACCUACGGGGGGCAGCAGUGGGGAAUAUUGCACAAUGGGGGAAACCCUGAUGCAGCGACGCCGCGUGAGCGAUGAAGUAUCUCGGUAUGUAAAGCUCUAUCAGCAGGGAAGAAAGUGACAGUACCUGACUAAGAAGCCCCGGCUAACUACGUGCCAGCAGCCGCGGUAAUACGUAGGGGGCAAGCGUUAUCCGGAUUCACUGGGCGUAAAGGGAGCGCAGGCGGCACGGCAAGUCAGCUGUGAAAACUACGGGCUUAACCUGUAGACUGCAGUUGAAACUGGCUUUCUUGAGUGAAGUAGAGGUU
rnacentral:rRNA from 1 species